AAGGAUCAUUACAGAGUUCAUGCCCUCACGGGUAGAUCUCCCACCCUUGAAUAUUAUACCUUAGCUGCUUUGGCAGGCCGGGGCAACCCCCGGGGCUUCGGCCUUGGUGUGCCUGCCAGAGGAAACAAACUCUGUUUUUAGUGAUGUCUGAGUACUAUAUAAUAGUUAAAACUUUCAACAACGGAUCUCUUGGUUCUGGCAUCGAUGAAGAACGCAGCGAAAUGCGAUAAGUAAUGUGAAUUGCAGAAUUCAGUGAAUCAUCGAAUCUUUGAACGCACAUUGCGCCCCGUGGUAUUCCGCGGGGCAUGCCUGUUCGAGCGUCAUUUCAACCCAUCAAGCUUCGGCUUGGUCUUGGGGCCUGCGAUUCCGCAGCCUCUAAACCCAGUGGCGGUGCCUCCGAGCUCUGAGCGUAGUAAUUCUUCUCGCUAUAGGGUCUCGGUGGUGUCUUGCCAGUAACCCCCAAUUUUUUACAGGUUGACCUCGGAUCAGGUAGGGAUACCCGCUGAACUUAAGCAUAUCAAUAAGCGGAGGAAAAGAAACCAACAGGGAUUACCUCAGUAACGGCGAGUGAAGCGGUAACAGCUCAAAUUUGAAAUCUGCCGCAAGGCCGAGUUGUAAUUUGUAGAAGAUGCUUUGGGUAUGGCCCCGGUCUAAGUUCGUUGGAACACGACGUCAUAGAGGGUGAGAAUCCCGUAUGUGACUGGGUGCUUUUGCCUAUGUAAAGCUCUUUCGACGAGUCGAGUUGUUUGGGAAUGCAGCUCAAAAUGGGUGGUAUAUUUCAUCUAAAGCUAAAUAUUGGCCAGAGACCGAUAGCGCACAAGUAGAGUGAUCGAAAGAUGAAAAGCACUUUGGAAAGAGAGUUAAACAGUACGUGAAAUUGUUGAAAGGGAAGCGCUUGCAACCAGACUUGCACGCUGUUGAUCAUCCAGGCUUCUGUCCGGUGCACUCGGCAGCGUUCAGGCCAGCAUCGGUUCUGGUGGUGGGAUAAAGGCCUUGGGAAUGUAGCUUCUUUCGGGGAGUGUUAUAGCCCUCGGUGCAAUGCCGCCUAUCGGGACCGAGGACCGCGCUUCGGCUAGGAUGCUGGCGUAAUGGUUGUAAGCGACC
rnacentral:rRNA from 1 species